GCUCUGCCUGGCAGGAAGCGUCUCCGCGGCGUUUCUGUCCACGCGCCAACCAUGGCGCCUUCUCCGGCCGUGCUGACCCGGCUGCUGUGUGCAGGUGUGUGGCGUUGGCCAAGUUUCCUGCAGAAGGCGACCCCGGGCCCGGCGGGGCUAAAUGGUAGGACAGUGUCGGGAGCUCAAGUCCCCGUGGUCAACGAGCCCCAGGACGACGACGAUCUCCAGAGCAGGAUCCUAGAUGUGCCCCUGCAACAUUCGGACUUCUUCAAUGUCAAGGAGCUGUUUUCUGUGAAGAGCCUCUUCGAGGCCCGAGUACACCUGGGCCAUAAAGCCGGUUGCCGGCAUAGGUUUAUGGAGCCAUACAUCUUUGGGAACCGCCUGGGUCAAGACAUCAUCGACCUGGAACAGACAGCCUUGAACCUACAGCUGGCCUUGAACUUCACCGCUCACGUGGCCUACCGCAAGGGCAUCAUCCUGUUCGUGAGCAGAAACCGGCAGUUCUCUCACUUGAUCGAGAAGACAGCCCAGGACUGCGGAGAGUACGCCCACACGCGCUACUUCAAGGGUGGUCUGCUGACUAACGCACACCUCCUCUUUGGGCCCACAGUCCGCCUGCCGGACCUCAUCAUCUUCCUGCACACGCUCAACAAUGUCUUUGAGUCCCAUGUGGCUGUGAGGGAUGCUGCCAAGAUGAACAUCCCCACGGUGGGCAUUGUGGACACCAACUGCAACCCGUGCCUCAUCACUUACCCUAUCCCUGGCAACGAUGACUCGCCCCAAGCUAUCCAGCUCUUCUGCAAGCUUUUCCGGACAACCAUCAACCGCGCCAAGGAAAAGAGGAGGCAGAUGGAGGCGCUGCAUCGGCUGCAGAGUUCCAGGGGGUCUGAGGGCAGUGGGACAUCUGCACCUGAUAAAAGCCAUUCCCCAUGAUGGGAACCUCUGCUCCCACACUAGACAGCCAAGCCUGUUCUGAGCAGGAAGCUCCUGUCCAACCCUGCCUAUAUCCACAUCCUCAGCAUCAGAGUCCUAUAUUCCCAAGGUCUGGCCACCCCAGAGUCCAAUCAUCCUGAGUUAAGCCUGGUCUGCCUUUUUUCUGGGAGCAAACUCAAGUACAUAUCCAUGUGAACUCUGGCAUCCACUAAGACUUGGACAUAGCUAGCCAAGUGGAAGGCACUGUUUCUCUUUUGUCAAGAAGCCCUUGCUUCCACUUUGGGUCUGUAUCAGCGCUUGGGAGGCAGACAGAUCUCUGAGUUUGAGGCCAGAACUCGAGAUGUACAGAGCAAGUUCCAGGACAGCCAGAGCUUCACAAAGAAACCCUGUCUUGAAGAAAGAAAAAGUUCUGUGGCAGGGGCCAGGUGGCAGUACCAAAGGCAAGGUGAGCAUAGUUAACUGUAAUGAGCGGCACAGACAAAACAGUGACCUGUACGGUCAGCACAGGCCAAGUGCGUUCUCUGGGGGGCAUGAU